rnacentral:rRNA from 1 species
CCUACGGGUGGCAGCAGUGGGGAAUAUUGGGCAAUGGGCGCAAGCCUGACCCAGCAACGCCGCGUGAAGGAAGAAGGCUCUCGGGUUGUAAACUUCUUUUAUAGAGGACGAAAAAAAUCACGGUACUCAAUGAAUAAGCCACGGCUAACUACGGGCCAGCCGCCGCGGUAAUACGUAGGUGGCAAGCGUUAUCCGGAUUUACUGGGUGUAAAGGGCGGGCAGGCGGGACAGUAAGUCAGAUGUGAAACCCCUGGGCUCAACUCCUGGCCGGCAUAUGAGACUGUAGGACUUGAGUGAUGGAGAGGCAGGUGGAAUUCCGCGUGUAGCAGUGAAAUGCGUAGAUAUACGGAAGAACACCGAUGGCGAAGGCAGCCUGCUGGAAAAUAACUGACGCUGAGGCGCGAAAGCGUGGGGAGCAAACAGGAUUAGAUACCCGGGUAGUC